rnacentral:rRNA from 1 species
AUGGCGUUGAUGGGACCCCGCACCCGAUUGUUUGUUUCCGUUGAGAUUUAUGAGGAUGCUAAUGCGACACUACAAUCAGAGACCCUUCGACAAAACUGUGUGCGAUGCAAUAAUCGUAAACAUUGGUGUAAAAUAACCAUCAAAAAGGUGCAAAAUGUUUGCGAUGGCGGGCACAUCAAACACGGUUCAGAUUUUAGUUGCGUGUGUGAUGCUGGGCAUACGGUUGAUCCAUACAAACUGUCUGCAAUUAGACAGAACAACAGAAACAGUUGCCAUAUCAAUGUCUGUGCGAUAUGCGGCAUAUAG